rnacentral:pre_miRNA from 1 species
AUAUCAAAGAUCCAAAGCCCACUGAAGUCAGUGGGAGUCUUUCCAUUGACUACAAAGGGCUUUGGAUCAGGACUUAAGU